rnacentral:tRNA from 1 species
GCCCUGUAGUGAGUCACGUCAGAUUGCAAAUCUGAAAAUGUAAAUUACAAUUUGCCGGGGCUU